UCCGAAACCUGCAUAACAAGUGUACUGUGUGUGAUAAUAGUUUGAAGUAAUAGUGAAAAUAAAAAUUUUAUUAAACGUUUUAUGGAUUCUAUUUUUGACGGCUACACAAUAGAUCGCAGAGUCGGCGCGAGUUAUUGCUAGUAGAGUCUUCCAAUUCGGAAAAUUUGAAGGUUUUAUCCUCGUACAAGAUUUUUCUUCUCCCAAGCAUGGAGUAAAGAAGACGUUUUCGUGCGAGUUAUCUCCCAUCUGCUUGGCCAGCCAUCUUAGGCGUUUUUUCUUCGGGACGUUGAAUCCAAUGCUUCAAGCUGUUCGGCGACGUGGAAAGAGUUCUUCAUCCCUUCGAGUUGUCUAGCAGACUCUCGAGAGUGUUUCCUGGGUCGAGUCUGGCAACUUUUCACCAAGCCACCGGAGCGGGUUCUUCCGCCGGGGUGACGUGGUGGUCGAUGAUGAACGGCGGCAUCUACGAGGAGAG